rnacentral:rRNA from 1 species
AAAUCUUGUAAUCCCUGUGGGACCACCUGUGGCGAAGGCGUCUUACCAGAACGGGUUCGACGGUGAGGGACGAAAGCUGGGGGCACGAACCGGAUUAGAUACCCGGGUAGUCCCAGCCGUAAACGAUGCUCGCUAGGUGUCAGGCAUGGCGCGACCGUGUCUGGUGCCGCAG